AAUCUAUCUCUUACAAUCAGGGUCAACGUAAUCCGUCGCGCUUCAAUUUCCGGUUACAUUGCCAAAGAACGUUAAUCUGAGGAUUAUUUGCAAUCGACUCGUUCACUUUGAUCCUGACCGUGGUGAAAGAAGGGCGCGAUCCUUUAGUUUGUUCCGUGGUGUAAUUGGCUAGCCUAGUUGUAAAUUGUGCGGUAGAGUUUUUGUGAGCUGUGCGACUGUCUUGUGUGUUAAAGCCUAGACGACAAAGCCACCGCCUGCACGCCAUCACCAUUGCUCGUCGCCAUCGCCAACCCUUGCCACGCUCUGGACUCAAGGUUCCCCGCCUUGACGAAGGCGGAAGGGAGUAGCAACCGUCUAACUGCACUCCAACCGGCGACCCCCAGUCAAACCCCGGCCGAUUGAGUCGGCCCGAACCGUAAGUGUUUCCGAACCUUCUUUUUUCCGGACCCGU